rnacentral:piRNA from 1 species
UCCCUUUUUAAAGGCCACCUACAUCUUUU